UACGUAGGAGACGAGCGUUGUCCGGAAUUACUGGGCGUAAAGCGCGUGUAGGCGGAUGAGCAAGUCUGCUGUGAAAGCUCCUGGCUUAACCGGGAGUGGUCGGUGGAAACUGCUCGUCUGGAGGACGGUAGAGGUAGGUAGAAUUCCCGGUGUAGUGGUGAAAUGCGUAGAGAUCGGGAGGAAUACCUGUGGCGAAGGCGGCCUACUGGGCCGGACCUGACGCUGAGGAGCGAAAGCAUGGGGAGCGAACAGG
rnacentral:rRNA from 1 species